rnacentral:rRNA from 1 species
CAGUCGCCGCGGUAAUACGUAGGUGGCAAGCGUUGUCCGGAAUUAUUGGGCGUAAAGCGCGCGCAGGUGGUUUAAUAAGUCUGAUGUGAAAGCCCACGGCUCAACCGUGGAGGGUCAUUGGAAACUGUUAAACUUGAGCGCAGGAGAGAAAAGUGGAAUUCCUAGUGUAGCGGUGAAAUGCGUAGAGAUUAGGAGGAACACCAGUGGCGAAGGCGGCUUUUUGGCCUGUAACUGACACUGAGGCGCGAAAGCGUGGGGAGCAAAUAGGAUUAGAUACCCCCGUAGUCCCUGUCUCUUAUAC